AUUGAACGCUGGCGGCAGGCCUAACACAUGCAAGUCGAACGAGUGGCGGACGGGUGAGUAAUGUCUGGGAAACUGCCUGAUGGAGGGGGAUAACCACUGGAAACGGUAGCUAAUACCGCAUACCAUCAGAUGUGCCCAGAUGGGAUUAGCUAGUUGGUGGGGUAACGGCUCACCAAGGCGACGAUCCCUAGCUGGUCUGAGAGGAUGACCAGCCACACUGAAACUGAGCCACGGUCCAGACUCCUACGGGAGUCAACAGUGGAGAUAAUUGCACAAUUGGCGCAAACCUGAUGCGACUAUACCGCGUGUAUGAAGAAGGCCUUAGGGUUGUAAGGUUCUUUCAGCGGAGAGGCGUUACCCGCAGAAGAAGCACCGGCUAACUACGUGCCAGCAGCCGCGGUAAUAC
rnacentral:rRNA from 1 species